GUCUUGUGCCCUUUGCAAGAGGCAUCUUUGGUUUCAUCAGUCUCUCAGUCCCUCAAGCAAUCUCAUGGCAGCUGCUGUAGAAACUGCAGUGAGAGUUCACAGGGGCCAAAACUCUGAGAGUGGAGAGCCUUCCCCUCUGUGAAUUCAAGGGUCCCUGAAUUUCCCUGGCAGAAAGCAAACUAGGAUCAUGAGAGAUGUUGGAAGGACUGUGGGAGCUGGCCUCAGCUCACAAGAACAAUGAUCCUUAGAUCAUGAAGACCCCCUUGAUGGCUUCCAGAAGUUGGACUAGUCAAGAGAGUGCCAGUCAGCUUUGACUACCAGGGAUCUCACCUUCUGCAAACUUUCCUGCUAAGCUAUAGGCAUAGUUACACAAUAACCCACCAUUGUUUCCCAGCUUGUUUUCCAUAGUAACUGGCAGUUUUAAACACUAUUGUAAAACCGAAGACUGGUCUUUGAGAUAUUUUUUAGACUUUGCCCGCAAGUAAACCAACUGACACCAACUGAACCGGUGUCCUGUGAUGUUAACCAA
rnacentral:lncRNA from 1 species